rnacentral:tRNA from 1 species
GGGCCGUUAGCUCAAUUGGUAGAGCUGCGGACUUUUAAUCCCCGGGUUUGCCGUGUCAACGAGUGUCGCAUAGUGCCGCCCA